GAUGAAGAACGUAGCGAAAUGCGAUACGUAAUGUGAAUUGCAGAAUUCAGUGAAUCAUCGAGUCUUUGAACGCACAUUGCGCCCCCUGGUAUUACGGGGGGCAUGCCUGUCCGAGCGUCAUUGCUGCCCUCAAGCACGGCUUGUGUGUUGGGCUCCGUCCCCCCGGGGACGGGCCCGAAAGGCAGCGGCGGCACCGAGUCCGGUCCUCGAGCGUAUGGGGCUUUGUCACCCGCUCUGUAGGCCCGGCCGGCGCCAGCCGACAACCCAUCAUCCUUUUCAGGUUGACCUCGGAUCAGGUAGGGAUACCCGCUGAACUUAAGCAUAUCAAUAAGCGGAGGA
rnacentral:misc_RNA from 1 species